rnacentral:rRNA from 1 species
UACGGAGGGUGCAAGCGUUAUCCGGAUUCACUGGGUUUAAAGGGUGCGUAGGUGGGCAGUUAAGUCAGUGGUGAAAUCUCCGGGCUUAACCCGGAAACUGCCAUUGAUACUAUCUGUCUUGAAUACCGUGGAGGUAAGCGGAAUAUGUCAUGUAGCGGUGAAAUGCUUAGAUAUGACAUAGAACACCAAUUGCGAAGGCAGCUUACUAGACGUACUAUUGACACUGAGGCACGAAAGCGUGGGGAUCAAACAGG